rnacentral:rRNA from 1 species
UACGUAGGUGGCAAGCGUUGUCCGGAAUUAUUGGGCGUAAAGCGCGCGCAGGCGGUCCUUUAAGUCUGAUGUGAAAUCCCACGGCUCAACCGUGGAAGGUCAUUGGAAACUGGGGGACUUGAGUACAGAAGAGGAAAGCGGAAUUCCAAGUGUAGCGGUGAAAUGCGUAGAGAUUUGGAGGAACACCAGUGGCGAAGGCGGCUUUCUGGUCUGUAACUGACGCUGAGGCGCGAAAGCGUGGGGAGCAACAGGAGU